rnacentral:rRNA from 1 species
AUGCACCGGCACUUCGGGGAUCUCCUGUCAAGCAAAGAAGGUGUCGAUGUUGAAUUCCUUGUCGGCAGGGAGAAGUUCCGGGUGCACCGGUCGGUGCUUGCAGCGCGCUCUCCAGUUAUCAGAGCUGAGUUCUUUGGUUCGAUGAAGGGGAGCACAACCAAAAAUGCCAUACACAUAGAUGACAUGGAGGCAGAGGUGUUCAGCAAUUUGCUCACUUUCAUCUACACUGAUGAUGUAAUGCCUGAUACGAAUCAAGCAGAUGAGUAUGCCAUGGCUCAGCAUUUGCUUGUCGCAGCAGAUAGGUAUAGUUUGGAGAGGCUCAGGCCGAUCUGUGAAGAUAAGCUGUGCAAUUGUAUCGAUACGAGCUCUGUGGCCACCAUAUUAGCACUGGCAGAGCAGCACCACUGCCAUGGGCUUAAGAAGGCAUGCCUGUUGUUCCUAGGCUCGUCGACGAAUCUGAAUGCGGUCAUGGAGUCCAAGGGAUUUGAGUACUUAACCAAGACCUGCCCUGCUGUUCUGAAAGAUCUCCUCAUGUUCAAGUCUGUUACUGGAUAG